GACGAACGCUGGCGGCGUGCUUAACACAUGCAAGUCGAACGGAAAGGCCCUGCUUUUGUGGGGUGCUCGAGUGGCGAACGGGUGAGUAACACGUGAGUAACCUGCCCUUGACUUUGGGAUAACUUCAGGAAACUGGGGCUAAUGCCGGAUAGGAGCUCCUGCUGCAUGGUGGGGGUUGGAAAGUUUCGGCGGUUGGGGAUGGACUCGCGGCUUAUCAGCUUGUUGGUGGGGUAGUGGCUUACCAAGGCUUUGACGGGUAGCCGGCCUGAGAGGGUGACCGGCCACAUUGGGACUGAGAUACGGCCCAGACUCCUACGGGGGGCAGCAGUGGGGAAUAUUGCACAAUGGGCGGAAGCCUGAUGCAGCAACGCCGCGUGCGGGAUGACGGCCUUCGGGUUGUAAACCGCUUUCGCCUGUGACGAAGCGUGAGUGACGGUAAUGGGUAAAGAAGCACCGGCUAACUACGUG
rnacentral:rRNA from 1 species